UACGUAGGGGGCAAGCGUUAUCCGGAUUUAUUGGGCGUAAAGCGCGCGUAGGCGGCCGAUCGCGUCGGAUGUGAAAGCUCGGGGCUCAACCCUGAGAGGCCAUUCGAUACGGGUCGGCUAGAGGCAGGUAGGGGAAGGUGGAAUUCCGGGUGUAGCGGUGGAAUGCGUAGAGAUCCGGAAGAACACCGGUGGCGAAGGCGGCCUGCUGGGCAGUUGCUGACACUGAGGCGCGACAGCGUGGGGAGCAAACAGG
rnacentral:rRNA from 1 species